rnacentral:rRNA from 1 species
AGUGAACGCUGGCGGUAGGCCUAACACAUGCAAGUCGAACGGCAGCACAGUAAGAGCUUGCUCUUACGGGUGGCGAGUGGCGGACGGGUGAGGAAUACAUCGGAAUCUACUUUUUCGUGGGGGAUAACGUAGGGAAACUUACGCUAAUACCGCAUACGACCUACGGGUGAAAGCAGGGGAUCUUCGGACCUUGCGCGAUUGAAUGAGCCGAUGUCGGAUUAGCUAGUUGGCGGGGUAAAGGCCCACCAAGGCGACGAUCCGUAGCUGGUCUGAGAGGAUGAUCAGCCACACUGGAACUGAGACACGGUCCAGACUCCUACGGGAGGCAGCAGUGGGGAAUAUUGGACAAUGGGCGCAAGCCUGAUCCAGCCAUACCGCGUGGGUGAAGAAGGCCUUCGGGUUGUAAAGCCCUUUUGUUGGGAAAGAAAAGCAGCAGGUUAAUACCCCGCUGUUAUGACGGUACACAAAGAAUAAGCACCGGCUAACUUCGUG